rnacentral:rRNA from 1 species
UUCAAACUGAAGGGUUUGAUCCUGGCUCAGAAUGAACGUUGGCGGCGUGGAUUAGGCAUGCAAGUCGCACGAGAAUCCAUUUCGGUGGAGGACAGUGGCGAAAGGGUGAGUAAUGCAUAGACAACCAACCUUCGACUCCAGGAUAACUGGGGGAAACCUCGGCUAAUACUGGAUAGGCUAGCCACCCCUGUGGGGAGGCUAGUAAAGGUGGCCACUUAGCAAUGCUUCUGGUUGAAGACGGGUCUAUGUCCUAUCAGCUUGUUGGUGAGGUAACGGCUCACCAAGGCCGCGAUCCGUAGCUGGUCUGAGAGGAUGAUCAGCCACAUCGGGACUGAGACACGGCCCGAACUCCUACGGG